rnacentral:rRNA from 1 species
UUUGAUCCUGGCUCAGAAUCAACGCUGGCGGCGCGCUUAACACAUGCAAGUCGAACGAGAAAGCCGGAGCAAUCUGGUGAGUAAAGUGGCGUACGGGUGAGUAACACGCGGAUAAUCUGCCUUUUUGUGGGGGAUAACCUGGGGAAACCUGGGCUAAUACCGCAUAAGCUCGAGAGAGGAAAGCCGCAAGGCGCAGGAAGAGGAGUCCGCGGUCGAUUAGCUAGUUGGUAGGGUAAAAGCCUACCAAGGCAACGAUCGAUAGCCGGCCUGAGAGGGCACACGGCCACACUGGCACUGAAACACGGGCCAGACUCCUACGGGAGGCAGCAGUGGGGAAUCUUGCACAAUGGGGGAAACCCUGAUGCAGCGACGCCGCGUGAGCGAUGAAGCCCUUCGGGGUGUAAAGCUCUUUCGACAGGAACGAUAAUGACGGUACCUGUGGAAGAAGCUGCGGCUAACUACGUGCCAG